rnacentral:rRNA from 1 species
UACGAAGGGGGCUAGCGUUGCUCGGAAUCACUGGGCGUAAAGCGCACGUAGGCGGCCUUGCAAGUCGGAUGUGAAAUCCCACGGCUCAACCGUGGACGUGCAUCCGAAACUGCUCGGCUCGAGUAUGGAAGAGGGUCGCGGAAUUCCCGGUGUAGAGGUGAAAUUCGUAGAUAUCGGGAGGAACACCAGUGGCGAAGGCGGCGACCUGGGCCAAUACUGACGCUGAGGUGCGAAAGCGUGGGGAGCAAACAGG